AGCAAGUGGCAAUUGUCCAUACGGCUUUUUGGAGUUCGGGAUAUCCUGCUUUCACUUUAGCCACGACGCUCAAACAUGGAUAAGCUCGCAGGUAGCAUGCAGCCAGGCAUUAUUUCCCACAAAAGCGGAUCUUGUGGAAAUCAAUAACUACGGAGAGAACCAUUUCCUGUGGCAACAUGCUCUGGCGACUAAAAGAGAUUACUGGGUAGGAGCCUCAGAAUUGCAGACUCUGAAUGUGUACAGGUGGCUUAAGUCGACAAAAGUAGUGAACACUCUUGCCAGUUACUGGCACCCAGGAGAACCCAACAGAGCGCGCCCCAACAAACAAUGCAUGG